AUCAAAAGCACAAGCUCCCAUGAGAUAUUCUUCAAAGGCAGGCAGGCAUUCCCAUGUUGACAGUGAAAUAAGAGUUCACAAUGAAAGUGAUCCUCACCCAGGAACACAAGGUUGCUGUAAUUCUCCAACAUCACUUCCUUAUACAAAUUCCACUGAGCAGAGUCCAGACAUUCACACUCAUCUGCAGAGAAAUCAAUGGCCACAUCUGUGAAUGACAGAGGGUCCUGAAAUAAAAAUAAAUGAAUAGUAUAAAUUAAAUAAAUAUAACAGUUAAUGAUGUCAAUACCAAAGUCAGCAAGCUUGCAGUCACCUUUUGUGCAAGGUGAAGGGAGAACUAGAAAUGGUUCUAAAUUGGUAAGUAAUGAUUGUGCAUACGCUGGCCAAUACUUUCUGUGCCUCUCUCCCUCAGACCACUGGCCCAUUGGAGACACCUGUGUUAUUUCCAAAUUCUGUGAGAUUAAUUUCUUUGGAGUCUCUCUAUGGCUAAGAUCAUCUUUUACUUGCAUUUCCAGGUCUGAAGUAAUAAUCCCAUUCAUAUUGUCACAGACAAUCCCCCAUGUUCUGAGGCUCAACUGGACUGCGAUGCACAUAAGUGCAUAUACAUGUGAAGCAAUGUAACGCCUCUACUUUCCUUGCUUUGCAAGACCUUCUGCAGCCUGUCAAAAGAUUUCCUGAUGAUGACGGCACAAUGCAAAGUCACGGGUGUUCCCUGAGCAGUCUGCAGCAGUUCUUUCUAGCUCCAAAUUUUCAGAUGUGAGUAAUAUAGCAUGAAGUAACCAUGGAAAUCAGGGAAGUAUAAAGGGAGCAUGUGGGGAGGGGCAUGAGAGAGGCGUAGCAGGACACAGGUGAUCUGAAGUGGGAAAGGGAAAACCUACGGGGAAGGGGGGGUCAACUGGGAAAAUGGUGGGAGGUCAACACAGAUGGAGAAAGGGUAGAAUAAACCUGGAGGGGGUUUCAAUUGGCAAGAAGAAAGGAGGUCCAUACAGAUGGAGAGGAAGGGCGAGAUAAGGAAAACGAAUACCAAACCUCAUGAAAUCAUAUUAUUUUAUACUUACUGAAACUUAUACACUAUAUAUUAUAUGCAAACUUAGACAAAAACCACAAGAGCUCUCAACCCCAGAGCUAACUCUCUAGGCCUCGUGAUGUUUAACUUUUUAAGUCAUUUAUUUUUAUUUUUGUGCAUAUGUUGCCAUCUUGUACGAUGGUGCACCACAUGGUUACCCUGGAGACCAGAAGAUGUUAUUGGUUCCCUGGAACUGCAGUUAUAGACAAUUAUGAACCACUGUGUGCCUGGUGGGGGCUGAACAAUGUUCCUUUGCUAGAGAAACAAGUGCCUCUAUUUAAAAAAUAAAUUAUUUUUG
rnacentral:lncRNA from 1 species